AGCCCGACAAAUUUAUCAAACUGAUCGAAACCAGAACCCAACACUCAGCUCGCUCUCGCUCUCAAACUAUGUCGAUCUUCUCUUAAACCAAAACCCGACAACAGAACUUCUCUCUUCUGAUUCUCAAACCAAAAUCAUCGAAUUGAAAUUCCAGGUCCUAAUCCAACAUCAAUCUCUUCUAAUCCAAUAUCGAACUGAAAACCCAGAAAAAAUUUUCCCAUCUCGCCUCGCAUAUAUAGAAAACCUCAUUCCAGCCAAAACAUAUCGGUCUCAAUCCCUAUCGUGUUGCUGGCGGAGGCUAGGCGGUUUAGACGGAGGAUAGGCGGAUCGACCUCCAACCCAGUCUCGGCGACGACCUCGUCUUGUUCUCUCGGCGUCGACCCAGUCUCGGCAGAACACAAAGGCCAGAUAGCCAGAACCCAAAGCUAGAGAGAGAGAGAGAGAGAGAAACUCAUACUAUGUAACUCUGACAACACAUACUGGAUUCCAGAGUCUCGUUCAGUCCAGAUUUUCCAAAUUUCACAGCAAAACCCAAUCUUUCUCUCAUCAACGUCAGGCAAGAUCACCUUUUUAUUUACUUUCUCUAUCUGUAUCUAUAUGUUUUUGGCUUAUAUGUAUACGUAUGCUAUGCGUUCGGCCACUUUGGGAUUUUGUAUUUGCGAGUUAUGAAUGUAAUGCUGGAUUUUCUUUCAAUUUUAAUUGGCCCAAUUUGUAGAAACAGAGGAUUAGUCUCAGUGCAUCAAUUUGAUCCUAACACCUUGUUUGGUUCCCGGAAAGUUUUUGUUGCUGGAAAGCUUUAAUGGCGUCUUUGCAACCAUACAGGAUUACAGGGAAAAAAAAAAAAGGAAAGAUCUUUUUAUGUUUCUGGGGAUGAAGAACAACUGGAAUUUGAAACAUAAUUUAUUAAAAAAUUUUGUUGCUUUUGGUACUUGUCGGUGCAGAGGGUAUGAAUUCUAAGGUUGUAUGUUUUUGAGGAGAAAGCUUUGUGUUGAUAGUUUAUUUUUGUUGCUGAGAUAAUGCUGGGUACCAGAAGUUUAACUCCUUUGUCUUUUUGAUUAAAACUUGGGGCCCAGUGAAUGGAUUAAAAUAAAUCUCUCUUGCAAUGUAGGUGUAAUUUUUGUUUAACUUGAGUUUAAUUGCAGACGAGUCUUUAGAGAGAAUUGUGUGAUUUAGUGUGAUGUGGUUUGAGGUUCUAAAAGGAAAAUGUUGCUGCUUGUAGCUUUUAGAGAGUUUGGCUUGACUAAAUAUGACAUGGUUUGGUUUGUUUCUUGUUUUAUAAAUUGUUCUCUUGAUUGUGCUAUUGCGCAGAUACUGCAUCACUGUUUCCUACAAGGCAUGCCUAGGGAGAUCUUCAAACGUAAGAGCCUUGAUAUUUUAUUUAAAUAUUUCCAAUGAUCAUUAUUAGUUCCUUGUACAAACCCUUCUAAUUGGGUUGAUAGAGGAAAAAAAUUAUGUUAAACAUUUAUGCACUUUAUAGACUUCUGAAUUGUGAUACAGAAUAUAUAUUCCCCACGCAAUUGAACCUGACUUCAACUCAAGCCCAGAGGCACAAUAUUCCAACAAGACAUCAUCAGAUGUAUCCUAUCAAGAUUUACUCGGUUUCUAGAAAAUUCUUUCAAUUUUAUAAGGCUAGUAGAAAGACUUACUUCAACAACCUGAUUUGGCCUGGUAGGCAUUACUUUGAUGCAUCUAUUAAUCCGCUUCUUUUCAUGUUUGCAUUAGUAGUUGUUAUACUUUGCGGCACAUAUUUCAGUUAUACUAUGGUUGAGGUU